UACGUAGGGUGCAAGCGUUAAUCGGAAUUACUGGGCGUAAAGCGUGCGCAGGCGGUCCUGCAAGACAGAUGUGAAAUCCCCGGGCUUAACCUGGGAACUGCAUUUGUGACUGCAGGGCUGGAGUGCGGCAGAGGGGGAUGGAAUUCCGCGUGUAGCAGUGAAAUGCGUAGAUAUGCGGAGGAACACCGAUGGCGAAGGCAAUCCCCUGGGCCUGCACUGACGCUCAUGCACGAAAGCGUGGGGAGCAAACAGG
rnacentral:rRNA from 1 species